UGGGGAAUAUUGGACAAUGGGCGCAAGCCUGAUCCAGCCAUGCCGCGUGUGUGAAGAAGGCCUUAUGGUUGUAAAGCACUUUAAGCGAGGAGGAGGCUACUUUAGUUAAUACCUAGAGAUAGUGGACGUUACUCGCAGAAUAAGCACCGGCUAACGCUGUGCCAGCAGCCGCGGUAAUACAGAGGGUGCGAGCGUUAAUCGGAUUUACUGGGCGUAAAGCGUGCGUAGGCGGCUAAUUGAGUCGGAUGUGAAAUCCCCGAGCUUAACUUGGGAAUUGCAUUCGAUACUGGUUAGCUAGAGUGUGGGAGAGGAUGGUAGAAUUCCCGGUGUAGCGGUGAAAUGCGUAGAGAUCUGGAGGAAUACCGAUGGCGAAGGCAGCCAUCUGGCCUAACACUGACGCUGAGGUACGAAAGCAUGGGGAGCAAACAGG
rnacentral:rRNA from 1 species